rnacentral:rRNA from 1 species
CCUACGGGAGGCAGCAGUGAGGAAUAUUGGUCAAUGGGAGGAAUUCUGAACCAGCCAUGCCGCGUGCAGGACGACGGCUCUACGAGUUGUAAACUGCGUUUGUACCGGGGUAAAAUGCUCUACGAGUAGUUUUUUGACAGUACGGUACGAAUAAGGAUCGGCUAACUCCGUGCCAGCAGCCGCGGUAAUACUGAGGGUCCGUGCGUUAUCCGGGUUACUUGGGUUUAAAGGGUGGGUAGGUUGUUUAAUAAGUUAGCGGUGAAAUACCGAGGCUCAAAACUGGAGCUGCCGCUGAUACUGUAGGACUAGAGAUCGGAUGCAGCAGGCGGAAUGUGUAGUGUAGCGGUGAAAUGCAUAGAUAUUACACAGAACACCGAUUGCGAAGGCAGCUUGCUAGGCCGGAUCUGACACUGAUGCACGAAAGCGUGGGGAUCGAACAGGAUUAGAUACCCUUGUAGUC